UUUAUCCUACUACUUCGCCUUGGCUUCUUCCCUUUAUAGUAAUUUUAUUGCUUUUCCUGGGCAUUACUCUUUUUGCAGUGCAUAAACUGAGAAAGAGUAAUCAGACUGUAUCUAAAUCUGAAAAUAAGAAGAAUAAAUUAAAAACAG